AUUGAACGCUGGCGGUAGGCUUAACACAUGCAAGUCGUGCGAGAAAGUAUCUUCGGAUAUGAGUAGAGCGGCGGACGGGUGAGUAACGCGUAGGAAUCUACCUAGUAGAAGGGGAUAGCCCGGGGAAACUCGGAUUAAUACCGUAUACCUCCUUCGGGAGAAAGAAGGCCUCUCUUUGAAGCUUUCGCUAUUAGAUGAGCCUGCGUAAGAUUAGCUUGUUGGUGAGGUAAAGGCUCACCAAGGCGACGAUCUUUAGCGGGUCUGAGAGGACGAUCCGCCACAUUGGGACUGAGACACGGCCCAGACUCCUACGGGAGGCAGCAGUGGGGAAUAUUGGACAAUGGGCGCAAGCCUGAUCCAGCCAUACCGCGUGUGUGAAGAAGGCCCUAGGGUUGUAAAGCACUUUAAGUUGGGAAGAAAAGUUAUUGGUCAAUACCCAAUAACCUUGACAUUACCAUCAGAAUAAGGACCGGCUAAUUCCGUGCCAGCAGCCGCGGUAAUACGGAAGGUCCAAGCGUUAAUCGGAAUUACUGGGCGUAAAGCGCGCGUAGGUGGUUUAUUAAGUUGGAUGUGAAAUCCCCGGGCUCAACCUGGGAACUGCAUCCAAAACUGAUUCACUAGAGUACGAUAGAGGGAGGUAGAAUUCACAGUGUAGCGGUGGAAUGCGUAGAUAUUGUGAAGAAUACCAAUGGCGAAGGCAGCCUCCUGGAUCUGUACUGACACUGAGGUGCGAAAGCGUGGGUAGCGAACAGGAUUAGAUACCCUGGUAGUCCACGCCGUAAACGAUGUCAACUAGCUGUUGGAGAACUAUGUUCUUCAGUGGCGCAGCUAACGUAGUAAGUUGACCGCCUGGGGAGUACGGCCGCA
rnacentral:rRNA from 1 species